UGAGGAAUAUUGGGCAAUGCCCGCAAGGGUGACCCAGCAACGCCGCGUGGAGGAUGAAUGUCGUAAGAUUGUAAACUCCUGUUAGAGGGGAAGAAUAGUACCGGUUGGACCGGUAUAUGACUGUACCCUCAGAGAAAGCCCCGGCUAACUACGUGCCAGCAGCCGCGGUAAUACGUAGGGGGCAAGCGUUGUCCGGAUUUACUGGGUGUAAAGGGCGCGCAGGCGGGAUAAAAAGUCAGUGGUGAAAUCCUACAGCUUAACUGUAGAACUGCCUUUGAUACUUUUAUUCUUGAGUUCGGGAGAGAGAGACGGAAUUCCAGGUGUAGUGGUGAAAUACGUAGAUAUCUGGAAGAACACCAGUUGCGAAGGCGGUCUCUUGGUCCGACACUGACGCUGAGGAGCGAAAGCAUGGGGAGCGAACA
rnacentral:rRNA from 1 species